rnacentral:rRNA from 1 species
AACACCGGCAGCUCUAGUGGUAGCAAUUUUAUGGGCCUAAAGCGUCCGUAGCCGGUUUAAUAAGUCUCUGGUGAAAUCCUGUAGCUUAACUAUGGGAAUUGCUGGAGAUACUAUUAGACUUGAGACCGGGAGAGGUUAGAGGUACUCCCAGGGUAGAGGUGAAAUUCUGUAAUCCUGGGAGGACCGCCUGUUGCGAAGGCGUCUAACUGGAACGGUUCUGACGGUGAGGGACGAAAGUUAGGGGCGCGAACCGGAUUAGAUACCCGGGUAGUCCUAACUGUAAACGAUGCGGACUUGGUGUUGGGUGGCUUUGAGCUGCUCCAGUGCCGAAGGGAAGCUGUUAAGUCCGCCGCCUGGGAAGUACGGUCGCAAGACUGAAACUUAAGGAAUUGGCGGGGGAGCACCACAACGCGUGGAGCCUGCCGGUUUAAUUGGAUUCAACGCCGGACAUCUCACCAGAGGCGACAGCUGUAUGAUAGCCAGGUUGAUGACUUUGCUUGACUAGCUGAGAGGUGGUGCAUGG